rnacentral:lncRNA from 1 species
GUCGUGUUUUGAAAUCCCGGACCUGCGCAGAAAUGUACAAUGUACUUCCUUUUUCCGGUCUCGUUUGUAUGAAACUUUGAGUAAAAUAUAUAUUUAUCAGUCUAGUAUAAAAUAGGAAGGAACGUGCAAUACCAAUUUCAUUUUUAAUAAUUCCUUGAUAUGAAAAAACGUUACCUGAUGAUAGCGUUUCUUUGUUUACAUUGCACAUGACGUCAUAAUUUAAAUAACGU